GACGUAGGGCGCGAGCGUUGUCCGGAUUUAUUGGGCGUAAAGAGCUCGUAGGCGGCUUGUCGCGUCGACUGUGAAAUCCCGCGGCUCAACCCCGAGCCUGCAGUCGAUACGGGCAGACUAGAGUGCUGUAGGGGAGACUGGAAUUCCUGGUGUAGCGGUGAAAUGCGUAGAUAUCAAGAGGAACACCUGCGGCGAAGGCGGGUUGCUGGGCCGACACUGACGCUGGAGGCGCGAAAGCUAGGGGAGCGAACGGG
rnacentral:rRNA from 1 species